ACCCACACGCCGCACCCCUCCCAUCUCCGCGGGCACGGGCGCGCUUGCGUCACUACCCAGCCGGCUGGAUCUGGUUCCUGCCAAGCCGUAGGCUGACCUGCGUAGUAUGUACGCGCUGCAGCGGGCUGUGGGCCGGGCGAGCGGUUGACGGUUUCGUGCGAGGGUCCCGGCCGCCCGUCCCGGACGACACCCGCUAGCCGGGACGCGGAGGCGUGAGUUCCCAGGGACGGGGCCUGAUGUGCAUGAUGUUGGAAAAUUGGAUGGACAGCCUGUUGAGAUGGUGAAGUAUGGGCUCAAUAAAAAGUUUGGAGAAUCUCGGGGCUUUGUUUCUAGAAACCCAAUAUAAUCUAUAAAACAUGCCCCUCUCUCAGACCCUAUCUUCCUCCUGUGCAGGAACACAUCUCAUGGUGGGAGGCUCUGCUGUCUGACAUUUGUAAUGACGGGGUAGAAACCAGAGACCUUGUUGCUGGUGCCCCUUGCCCCUUAGCCUGCCGUUUAGCAAACUGCCUCACACCACAGAUUUUUUAGUUUAAUCUGUAGGUUGAAGAGCAAGAGUAAAAGUUAAGUUUUCUACUGUCCUGGAGGAAUUUGGUAGCAGCUACCAGAGCUGCUUGUGGCCGUCACAUCUUGCACCCACAGUGGUUUCCUAGUGUUUUGUGACAGUUGUGGGCUGCUGACACAUGCAGCAGAACAUGGGCAGUUUUGAGAAGCUGUGGGAGGCUGUGCUGCUGGGCCCUUUCACCCCGUGUGAGGCCUCUGUUGUGGGGGUAGGCACCGUGCAUUUCUCAGUUCUGGCCUGGGAGGCAGGUACCAUCAGCAGCUAAGGUAGUGGGAUUUUAAGAAGAAAGUGUGUAAGAACCCUGUCCUGGCCUCACCCCCUUGAAAUCUCUAUUUUCUUCUCUGUAGGAUGAGGAGCAAGGUUCUAGGAUCUGAAUCAGUGACACUAUGUGUGUAUGUUUCUGGAAAGAAGGUACAGCAGCUUUCAGCCUGUUCUCCAAGGCCCAGGUGGGAUGAGGCUAAAUGACUGCAGUAUUAGAAUGCAUAGGAAGACUCCACCUAGGAGAUCCUGGCUUCCCAAGGGUGUCCUAUAUGAUGUUGGGCUGGGACUGUGGACGUUCAACCUGGGUCAGGAAGUUUUAGCUUGGAUGGAAUAAACACAUCUUUUCACUUACAUCCAAGGGACAUGGAGCAUUUCUUUUCUACAGUAGACAGCAGUGGUCUGGGCAGGACCUAGGCUGAGUGAUGUUAGCACAGAGGCUUCCUGUCCCGUUGCAGAUGGGAACAUCUCACUGUCCUCAGUUGCAUUUCCCAGGUACGGAGCCUUAGGCUUGCUAUUUGGUUUUGUCGUUUGGCGUGUUGACAAAAUACAGAUAUCACUGGGGCUCUGGUGUUUUUUUGUGGGCUGCUACUGAGUUCAGUUUGUACCCAAGUAUGUCUGCAUGUUCCUACUUUAUAUAUUUAGUUAUUUUGGUUUUGGUUUUUUGUUUUUUUGGCAGUACUGGGGAUUGAACUGAGAGCCUCACACAUGCUAUGCAAGUGCUUUUCCCCUAAGCUGCAUCCUUGCUUUGUGCAUUUAGAAAUGUCAUUACAAGAAGGGGUCCCUGGGCAGUGUCACCCCAUUGGUCACAGCAGGGCUCUGGCAAGAGAGCCGGCCCUAAGCCCCCAUGCUGACCUGGAUGGGUGGCCGCCCUCCCUGUCCUCCAGGAGCUCACGUAUGCCUGCUUGUGAGCGCCUCGAUGACAGAGCCGGCGUCCGCCUCUGCAUCUGCAGCCCCUGUGCCUGCAGCCCAUCAUGGCAGCAUCCUUGAGUGGCUGCUGCACUGGUGCUCCAAAGUCGCUCCAUUUGUGAUCAAGAUCUCUCAGAAUGGGAGGGAAGGCAGUGGUGAGGAAGGAGCCAGAGAGCACUCACAUCUUAGUCCAGUCAGAUAUUGUGUUGGGAAAUUUGGGCAAAGUAGGGUUUAAAGAAUUUAGAGAUGUGCAUAUUUCAUGUAAUAAUUCUGACCGAGUCUGCUGUGUAUGUCUCUUCAUUAAAAAGACCCCAUGACCCCCACGAUCAUGGACCUGGUCUCAGGCAGGAUCCUCGGACAGGGUCUUGCUGUGUGUCUUCAGAUGUUACCAUGGGAAGAACCCGGCAUAGGGUGUCCCUGGAUUACCUUAUGUACCCACUUGUGCUUCUAUAAUUGUCUCAAUAAAACGCUUAAUUUUUUAAAGUC